rnacentral:lncRNA from 1 species
AGAGUAGAUGUAUGGAAAUGUUUAUGUUACGCAUUUGACUUAAUAUAGGCAGUCUCUAAAUUAAGAUGGAUUAUGUCUAAAAGUUUGUUUUUAAGUUAGUGAAUUGUGGUUGGGAGUCAUUUUUUAAUAGAAACAUAAAAUCUAUUUGAUCCUAAUUGUAGCUUAAUUAAUAGGCUUGGAAGUUAAAAAAAGUUAAUGGUUGCAAAAAAUAGCCUAACCUUGUUUUCACCUCUGUUUACUCUUUUUUUUUGCUUUUCACACUUUUUAGUUCACAGCAGCAGGCUUCUGACCUGCUACCCUACUGAGAUGGUUCUGGCAAAGGUCGGGAAUAAUCUCCCAUUUCCAAAUCUAGUGAUCUCUUUCUUCCUGCUUAAUAAUCUUGUCACCUGAGCACUCCUUGGCACUUCCAUUUUCCACAGCUAUGAUGCCACAUUCUGUCUUUUAUGCACCUCCUUCUGUCUUCGUCCACGUUUCCUUGGCCACCUGUCUGCAUGCCUUGCCAGCCUGAGGAAGCCUUCAACACACUCCACCUCCUGGUAGAUUUAACUGCCUUUUUUUGUGCUCCACUGUCCUUUGUCAUAGCAGUUUAAAAACUGUGCCUUUAUUAUCAUUGUCUCCCUCCCUCUGCUAGAUGGUAGGUCUUUUUUUUUUUUUUCAUUCAUUUACUUAUACAUGGACACAAUACCUUUAUUUUAUUUAUUUUUAAUGUGAUGCUGAGGAUCAAACUCAGUGCCUCAUACGUGCUAGGCAAGCACUUUGCCACUGAGGUACAACCCUAGCCCUAGAUGAUAUUUCCCAAAUAUGGGAAAAAAUGUUCAGCAUCUCUAGUAAUUAGAGAAAUGCAAAUCAUCUCACGCCAGUCAGAAUGGCAGUUAUCAAGAAUACAGACAACAAUAAAUGUUGGCAAGAAUGUGGGGGAAAGGCACACACAUACAUUAUUGGUGGGACUGCAAAUUGGAAAGUAGUAUGGAGAUUCCUUGGAAAACUUGAAAUGGAAUCACCAUUUGACCCAGUUAUGCCUCUCCUUGGUCUAUACCCAAAGGACUUAAAAUCAGUAUACUGUAGUAAUGCAGCCACAUCAAUGUUUAUAGCAGCUCAGUUCACAAUAUGCCUAUAUAUUUUUGUACUCCAGAGCAGACUUAUUUUAAUCAUGCCUGGAAAAACAUAAACUAUAACAUUCUGGGAGUGAAACAAUAAAUUCUAUAGACUGAACAAAGAAAAGGCUAUAAAAAGCUUAGGAUGCAGCUUUCUUGUUCAAAUAGAUUCCCAUCUCUUCCCAGUGUCAUUUUUCUUCUAUCCUGCACUCUAUAGAACUAAAUUAAGACAAUGUCCUCUUAUGGGCCUAUUAAUCUCAGCAAGGAUCAUCUGAAACUGAGCAUGAGAUUACUUUAUUUUAUAUAAGAUAAAUUGAGUAAGGGGCUGCUACUUAAAGGUUGUCAAAUUCAAAAUCUGACUGCUACUUCUGCCAGUGCCUCAAAUCAAAUACAGGAUUGUGAAGCCCAUGGUCUUGGAUAGAGAGAAGGCUAGGGAGUCAUAGGUAUGAGGCUAGAAGGGCUUAACAGGAGUAUUCCUUAUAUGCUGAGUUUACUUUGCUGGUUCAAUAGUCCUUUAAAAAGUUUCUGGAGGACUGGGGAUAUAACUCAGUUGGUAGAGUGCUUGCCUUGCAUGCAUAAGACCCUGGGUUCAAUCCCCAACACCACCAAAACAAAACAAAACAAAAGUGUUUCUGGAGAUGUUAAGUGUUUACAUAUAACCUCCUAAGAUAAAAGUACAGAAUGUAGGAAUUGGUAGCAUACUGAUAUGGAAGCUAAAACAGAAGUGGACCCAUUCUCUUAUGUUCUUACCACCUAGAGACAAGAAGUGAAAAGCUGUAUCAUUCCUGAGCAUGAGGAAGGCAAGGAUUGGGGUUGUGGCUCAGUGGUAGAGUGCUUGCCUAGCACAUGUGAGGCCCUGGGUUCUAUUCUCAGCACCACAUAAAAAGAUAAAUAAAUAAAAUAUUGUGUCCCUCUACAGCGCAUAUACAUAUAUAUAUAUAUAUAUAUAAUUGAGGAAGGCACAAGAAGAGCCCUUUGUAUUUGAGUACAUACAGGUUCAAAAUGAAAGGUAGCAGCAACCACCUUUCAUUUCAGAGCAGCAACUCUGUCCAUUAGGAAAUUGUGGUCCAACAAAUGUCCAUCUCCAACCAAGAGAAUUACCCAUUCGUCUUUUAUUUAAGGAAACAGAGUGGAAUCUAAGAACUAAAGCAUUUCCUCCUAGUUUCUCUCUCAUAGUAGGAAGAGGACAAGAAGCUGCAGGCAUAUAUUAUCCAGUAAAACAAAGACAUCAGGUUAGGGUGUCUGAGCAGUUUUGAAGAUCUAGCUGCUUCAGCCAAAUCCAUUCUACUACCACUUGCAGUUUAGCACCCACUGAUGGCAUUAUCCAUUCCAGCUUAAAUAUGAUUCUAGGUCUUUUGGCUGCAGAGGAGGUUUUUUUCUUUUUUCUUUUUUCUUUAAAAAUGGCUACAGCUAUGCCUGAAACUUUCUGGUGAUUGGCAGCCCUGUGUUCGACCCAGCUGGGGAGUGUAGGCCUGGAGAAUGCACUUUCUACUUCCCUACUUCUUAGGCUGGCCACUUUCUGCGGGACUUAGUCUCUCCCUCAUACCAAUUCCUUAAACCAAGAUUGUGUUUGCUUGCCCUACUUGGGUAUGGGGGAUGGAUUAAAUGUUUCAAGAUCUAUUUACUUUUUUAGAAUUUCUGAAUUAAAUACUAGUUUGUAGCUAAUCCCUUAAAUAAGGAGAAAUCAUAUCUUAACUAUCUUAUAGGUCUGCAAAAUGGCACCAACAGUGAUGAUCUUGGCACAGAAACAAUUGCAAAACUAUUGGCUUUUUUUUUUUUUUUUUUUUUUUUUUUUUUUGUCGUGGUGCUGGGGAUUGAACCCAGGGCCUUAUGCAUGCGAGGCAAGCACUCUACCAGCUGAACUAUAUCCCCAGCCCAUUUAUGUGACCAGCAUUUAUGUGACCAGCAAGGAAUCUGUUUUUAAUGCUUCUGGAGGAACAGUCAAUAGCUGCCAUAUGCAUUCCAUAUUGUUGGAAUACUUACCACACACAUGCAUUAUUAUGAGAAUGUGCCAGAGGAAAUUUGUACUUUUGAGAGUCCAGAGAAGGCAAUUUAUUUUGGCAUUUGCAUCACCUAUCUCAUUUCAUUAUCUGCUUUAUUUUACAUAAUAAUAUAAUAAAUAUGAUUAAUUAUACCAAGUGAAUAAAGAUCAGUUAGCCAGAGACACGCCAGUGAUUGAGGCAACUUGGAAGAGCAACACUGCAGUACUGUGAUCUCAUUGGAUUUUGACCUUGUGGGAAUCUAGUUAAGUUCUGUAAAUAAAAAUCUAUCCUGUUCUUUUUUCAUAUUAUCAAUUACUUUUCUAUAAUUGUCAUUGGUUGAUUGCAUAGCAAAGCAAGGACUGAAGUAUCAGAUAUUUCAUCUUUGCUGAUGAAAGUAUGUAUUGCAUGAUCUUGUAACUUUUUUCCUUAAAAAUAUUGUGAAAUAACACAUACUAAAGUAUUCAACCGUGUAUGUAUGGUUUAAAGAUAAAAUGAUCACACAUGUAUCAACUUCCAGCUUAAGAACUAGCACAUUCUCAGCUACCUACUCAUUUGUCCUCCCUCCAUUCGCAUCACAUGAGGUGAAUGUUCUUCUGUUAUUUUUGGUUGAUAAUUCCCAUGUUUUUAUUUGUGGCUCUAUCAUCUAUGUAUGUAUUCCUAAUAAAAUGUUGUUUAGAUUUACCUGUUUUUGAGCUUGUAUGUAAAUGGAUUCAUGCUGUAUGUAUUCUUCUGUGACUUUUUUCUAGCAUUUUUUGAGACUUCCAUCUAUGUUUAUUGCAUGUAACUAUUUCAUGUUUUCACUGCUGUAUAGCCACAAUGACUAUUUCACAAUUUAUCUGCUCUUCUAUUUCUGGAGAUUUGGACUUUUUAUUAUUAUAGACAAUGCUGCUGUGAACAUUCUGCCCAAUUACAAUGUAAGUUCUGUGUGGCCUGGGGUCAUGUCUGUUUUGUUCUGUGCUGUUUUCUCAGUGUCUGGAACAAUGCCUGGUACAGGGUACAUGCUCAAUAAAUAUUUGAAGAAUGAAUAACUUCUUGUACCUGUCUCCUGUGCACAUGUGCAAGAAUUGCUUUAGGAUGGUUUUUUUCAAAGGGUGGUCCAGGGACCCCUAGGGUCCCUGAGACCCUUUCAGAGGGCCUCUGAGGACAAAGCUACUUUCAUGUAAUAUUAAUUAAUAAAUUAUUUGUCCUUUUCACUUUCAUUUCUCACCAGGUUAUCAAAAAUUUUCCAGAUGUUUGAUAAAAUCACUGCUUUGAUAGCUGAUCAAGUAUAUAUUUGUUUAUUUUGUGUUUUAAAAAGUCUUCAUUUAAACUUUUUAUGUGGCAAAUAUUGAUAGAUAGAACUCAUAUGAACAACAGCUUUUUGAGUUCCUUGAUAAUUUUUUUGUUUUCGUUUUUUUGGGUCAGGGGAUUGAACUCAAGGGCACUCGACCACUGAGCCACAUCCCCAGCCCUAUUUUGUAUUUUAUGUAGAGCUGGGGUCUCACUAAAUUGUGUAGUGCCUCACUUUGUGCUGAGGCUGGCUUUGAACUUGAGAUCCUCCUGCCUCAGCCACCCAAACCUUCUGGGAUUAUAGGCAAGCGCCACUGCGCCUGGGCUCCUUGAUGAUUUUUAAGAUUGUAAAGAGGCUUAAGACCAAACAUUGGAGAACUGCUGCUCUAACAGAGUCAGCUUAAUUCAGUCAUGCUGAGUGGCUUUCUAAAGUAUUUGUACUAGUUUCACUCCCAUGGCAAUGGUUCAGGUUUCCCAGGGCUUCACAGUUCAGCAAACACAUGGUCUUGAUUGUCUUUAGUGUUUGCUAAUUGGAUGGCUACAUGGUAUCCUACUGUGGGUUUACUUUGCAUUUCCCUAAUCACUAAUGAAAUUAACUUUUCAUAUUUAGGUCCUCUUCUGUGAAAUACUUAUUCCUGUUUUUUGCCCCUUUUUCUGUUAGGUUGUGGCUCUCCCCCACCCCACAUAGAUUCAUGAUUUUAUAUAUUUUGGGUCCCAGUUUCUUGUCAGUUAAAUGUAUUACACAUAUUUUCUCCCAAUUCACAUGUUUUCUUUCAUGGUUGCAUUGAAUUUAUUGAUCAACUUGGAGAAAAUUUACAUCUUUUCAAUGUGUCUUCCCAGUCAGAAACAGUCGUGUAUCUCUCCAUUUAUUAGGUCUUCUUUAAUGUCUCUCAAUAAACAACAAUGUUCUCCAUAAAGGCCUUUAUGUCUUGUCUUAGAUUUCUUUAUAGGAGUUUAU